AUGAACGCUGGCGGCGUGCCUAAUACAUGCAAGUCGAGCGAACAGACGAGGAGCUUGCUCCUCUGACGUUAGCGGCGGACGGGUGAGUAACACGUGGAUAACCUACCUAUAAGACUGGGAUAACUUCGGGAAACCGGAGCUAAUACCGGAUAAUAUAUUGAACCGCAUGGUUCAAUAGUGAAAGACGGUUUUGCUGUCACUUAUAGAUGGAUCCGCGCCGCAUUAGCUAGUUGGUAAGGUAACGGCUUACCAAGGCGACGAUGCGUAGCCGACCUGAGAGGGUGAUCGGCCACACUGGAAUUGAGACACGGUCCAGACUCCUACGGGAGGCAGCAGUAGGGAAUCUUCCGCAAUGGGCGAAAGCCUGACGGAGCAACGCCGCGUGAGUGAUGAAGGUCUUCGGAUCGUAAAACUCUGUUAUUAGGGAAGAACAAAUGUGUAAGUAACUAUGCACGUCUUGACGGUACCUAAUCAGAAAGCCACGGCUAACUACGUG
rnacentral:rRNA from 1 species